UCUUCGGAAGCAAGUUAAAGAGAUUACUAAACAAAAUCGAUCACUAAAAGGAAAAGAGGAAAGAGAUACGCCUCAAAAUGUGCUUACCCCCAGCAAUCCCCCCUCAGGGCACAAUUUGAGCAGUUCGGCUCAGCCCCUUCAAGAGRCUUCACUCGCUGACCGACGGAAGACAUUGCUGGCUCAAGAGCGAGAAAAUCGACCCAAAUACUCCGGYUGGAUGUCGCCGUCUAAAACCAAAGACAUGUUCAAAGAUAAAGCGAAUCAAUGUCCACAUCAGUGAUAUUAGAAGCUAGGUUAUUAUAUUCAAUUUGCGGUUAUUGUAUUUUCUAAGGUCAAUCAUGCCUGAGUCAUCGGUGCUUUUAUCUUUUCAUUGUCUGCUAUUUAAUCCCUCAAUGCCGUAUUUUCUUACUUUACCGAAAAGCUACAAAUUAAAAAACGAAAACGGAUAAAGGAGAUUACUUMACGGGAAUUUGAAACUGCGAAAUUGGCGAAGACACGGCUUUCCGUCUUGCUUUGUUCCAAGAAAUACAUACGAUUCACAUUACAGGAUUACGUGUGUCUAAGAGUAUUCAUAUUUAAACUACAUUUCUUAGURCAGAUACUCUUUCGGAAUUCUCGUUGCCUUCUACUUGAAGUAUUUUCGACAACGCCAACAA